UGACCAUCACAUCUUUUGGCAAAACCCAGCUUAAACAACUUCUCUAGAUCUAAUAUGUUUGGAAUGGUCAAUAUUUCGAAUAUUUGAGAUGGUGCACAAAAAAUUGAUCGAACCUCGACUUUGCAUAAACUUUAUAACCGUCAUAUUUUUUUGAAAAACUAAGCUUAAACAACUUCCAUGGAGCUAGUAUGUUGGGAAUAGUCAAUAUUUUGAAUUUUCGAGAUGGUGCGCAAAACACCGAUUGAACUUUGAUUUUUCACAAAGUUUAUGACUGUCACGUCUUUUUCUGAAACUAUGCUUAUAUUGACUACCCUGGAGCAAAUAUGUUGGGAGUGAUGAAUUUUUUGAAUUUUUGAGAUGGUGUGCGAAAAAUCGAUCAAACCUCGACAUUACAAAAACUUUUAACUAUUAGGUUUUUUUUCAAAAACUAUGCUCGUACAACAUCUCAUGGACAAAUAUGUUUGGAAUGAUCAAUUUUUUGAAUUUUUGAGACGGUGCGUACAAAACCAAUCCAACUUCGACUUUAUGCAAAAUUUAUGACUAUAAGUUUGUUUCUGAAACCAAGCUUAUACAACAAACUUCCUUUGGGCUAAUAUGUUGGGAAUGGUUAUUAUUUUGAAUUUUC
rnacentral:lncRNA from 1 species